CUCCUCAAGACCGAUAGCGAACAAGUAGUGUGAACGAACGCUGAAAAGUACCCCCAGAAGGGAGGUGCAAUAGGGCGUGAAAUCAGUUGGCGAUAGAGCGACGGGGCAUACAAGGUCCUGCAUACAAUGAAUCAGAUGCGAAUCUGUAGUAAGCCAUGCAGGAAGCCGAUGUUCCGUCGUACGUUUUGAAAAACGAACCAGGGAGUGUGCCUGUUUGACGAGUCUAACUCGAUUAUCGAGGAAGGCGUAGGGAAACCGAUAU
rnacentral:ncRNA from 1 species